rnacentral:rRNA from 1 species
CAAGACCUUGCGCUUCUGGAGCGGCCGAUGUCUGAUUAGCUAGUUGGUGGGGUAAAGGCUUACCAAGGCUUCGAUCAGUAGCUGUCUGAGAGGACGACCAGCCACACUGGGACUGAGACACGGCCCAGACUCCUACGGGAGGCAGCAGUGGGGAAUUCUGGACAAUGGGGGAAACCCUGAUCCGGCCACGCCGCGUGAGUGAAGAAGGCCUUCGGGUUGUAAAGCUCUUUCGGCCGGAACGAAACGGUUACGGUUAAUAACCGUGACUACUGACGGUACCGGAAGAAGAAGCACCGGCUAGCUACGUGCCAGCAGCCGCGGUAAUACGUAGGGUGCGAGCGUUAAUCGGAAUUACUGGGCGUAAAGCGUGCGCAGGCGGUUUUGUAAGUCAGAUGUGAAAUCCCCGGGCUUAACCUGGGAACU